rnacentral:rRNA from 1 species
CCUACAGGAGGCAGCAGUAGGGAAUCUUUCACAAUGGGCGAAAGCCUGAUGGAGCAACGCCGCGUGCAGGAUGAAGGCCUUCGGGUUGUAAACUGCUUUUAUAAGCGAGAAAUAUGAUGGUAACUUAUGAAUAAGGAUCAGCUAACGACGUGCCAGCAGCCGCGGUCAUACUUAGGAUCCGAGCAGUAUCAGGAGUGAUUGGGUGUAAAGAGUUGCGUAGGUGGCAUAAUAAGUAGCUAGUGAAAUCUGGUGGCUCAACCAUUCAGACUAUUAGCGAAACUGUUAAGCUCGAGACCGUUAGGGGUAACUGGAAUUUCUAGUGUAGGAGUGAAAUCCGUAGAUAUUAGAAGGAACACCAAUAGCGUAGGCAGGUUGCUGGGACGGUUCUGACACUAAGGCACGAAAGCGUAGGGAGCAAACGGGAUUAGAUACCCCGGUAGUG